GAUGAACGCUGGCGGCGUGCUUAACACAUGCAAGUCGAGCGAAGCACUUUUGCGGAUUUCUUCGGAUUGAAGCAACUGUGACUGAGCGGCGGACGGGUGAGUAACGCGUGGGUAACCUGCCUCAUACAGGGGGAUAACAGUUGGAAACGGCUGCUAAUACCGCAUAAGCGCACAGUACCGCAUGGUACCGUGUGAAAAACUCCGGUGGUAUGAGAUGGACCCGCGUCUGAUUAGCUAGUUGGUGGGGUAACGGCCUACCAAGGCGACGAUCAGUAGCCGACCUGAGAGGGUGACCGGCCACAUUGGGACUGAGACACGGCCCAAACUCCUACGGGAGGCAGCAGUGGGGAAUAUUGCACAAUGGGGGAAACCCUGAUGCAGCGACGCCGCGUGAGCGAUGAAGUAUUUCGGUAUGUAAAGCUCUAUCAGCAGGGAAGAAAAUGACGG
rnacentral:rRNA from 1 species